CUACGGGGGGCACCAGUGGGGAAUAUUGCACAAUGGAGGAAACUCUGAUGCAGCAACGCCGCGUGGAGGAUGACACUUUUCGGAGCGUAAACUCCUUUUAUAUAGGAAGAAGAUGACGGUACUAUAUGAAUAAGCGCCGGCUAACUCCGUGCCAGCAGCCGCGGUAAUACGGAGGGCGCAAGCGUUACUCGGAAUCACUGGGCGUAAAGAGCGUGUAGGCGGAUUAAAAAGUCAUAAGUGAAAUCCUAUAGCUUAACUAUAGAACUGCUUCUGAAACUCUUAAUCUAGAAUAUGGGAGAGGUAGAUGGAAUUUCUGGUGUAGGGGUAAAAUCCGUAGAGAUCAGAAGGAAUACCGAUUGCGAAGGCGAUCUACUAGAACAUUAUUGACGCUGAGACGCGAAAGCGUGGGGAGCAAACAGGAUUAGAUACCCGUGUAGUC
rnacentral:rRNA from 1 species